GAUGAACGCUAGCUACAGGCUUAGCACAUGCAAGUCGAGGGGCAGCACGGAGAUAGCUUGCUAUCUUGGGUGGCGACCGGCGCACGGGUGAGUAGCGCGUAUCCAACCUGCCCAUUACUCUGGGAUAGCCUUGCGAAAGUAAGAUUAAUACCGGAUGUUGUUAAAAACCCGCAUGAGUUUUUAACCAAAGAUUUAUUGGUAAUGGAUGGGGAUGCGUGACAUUAGGUAGUUGGUGAGGUAACGGCUCACCAAGCCGACGAUGUCUAGGGGUUCUGAGAGGAAGGUCCCCCACACUGGAACUGAGACACGGUCCAGACUCCUACGGGAGGCAGCAGUGAGGAAUAUUGGUCAAUGGACGAGAGUCUGAACCAGCCAAGUAGCGUGCAGGAUGACGGCCCUCUGGGUUGUAAACUGCUUUUAGUUGGGAAUAAAAGGAGGGACGUGUCCCUAAUUGUAUGUACCAUCAGAAAAAGGACCGGCUAAUUCCGUGCCAGCAGCCGCCGUAACAC
rnacentral:rRNA from 1 species